rnacentral:rRNA from 1 species
AGAGUUUGAUCCUGGCUCAGGAUGAACUCUAGCUACAGGCUUAACACAUGCAAGUCGAGGGGCAGCGCAGUGCAGCAAUGCAUGGGCGGCGACCGGCGCACGGGUGCGUAACGCGUAUCCAACCUUCCCGUUACUCAGGGAUAGCCUUCCGAAAGGGAGAUUAAUACCUGAUGGUGUUCAAAUUUCGCAUGUUAUUUGAACUAAAGAUUUAUCGGUAACGGAUGGGGAUGCGUGACAUUAGGUAGAUGGCGGGGUAACGGCCCACCAUGCCUACGAUGUCUAGGGGUUCUGAGAGGAAGGUCCCCCACACUGGAACUGAGACACGGUCCAGACUCCUACGGGAGGCAGCAGUGAGGAAUAUUGGUCAAUGGCCGGAAGGCUGAACCAGCCAAGUAGCGUGAAGGAUGAAGGUUCUAUGGAUUGUAAACUUCUUUUAUACGGGAAUAAAACGUCCCACGUGUGGGAUCUUGUAUGUACCGUAUGAAUAAGCAUCGGCUAACUCCGUGCCAGCAGCCGCGGUAAUACGGAGGAUGCGAGCGUUAUCCGGAUUUAUUGGGUUUAAAGGGAGCGUAGACGGGAUGUUAAGUCAGUUGUGAAAGGCUGCGGCUCAACCGCAGCACUGCAGUUGAUACUGGCGUCCUUGAGUGCGGUUGAGGUGUAUGGAAUUCGUGGUGUAGCGGUGAAAUGCUUAGAUAUCACGAAGAACUCCGAUUGCGAAGGCAGUACACUAAGCCGCUACUGACGUUGAGGCUCGAAAGUGUGGGUAUCAAACAGGAUUAGAUACCCUGGUAGUCCCAACGGGAAAACAAGAAGACCAACCGCCGGCCAUACACAUCCGGGGGCCAACCGAAACCAAUAAUUCUCCCCCCCGGGGGAGUAGGACCGCAAGGUUGAAACUCAAAGGAAUUGACGGGGGGCCCGCACAAGCGGAGGAACAUGUGGUUUAAUUCGAGGAUACGCGAGGAACCUUACCCGGGCUCGAACGGCAGAUGAAUUGAGUAGAGAUAUUCAAGUCUUCGGACAUCUGUCGAGGUGCUGCAUGGUUGUCGUCAGCUCGUGCUGUGAAGUGUCAGCUUAAGUGCCAUAACGAGCGCAACCCUUGCCGUUAGUUGCCAUCAGGUUAAGCUGGGGACUCUAGCGGGACUGCCACCGCAAGGUGUGAGGAAGGGGGGGAUGACGUCAAAUCAGCACGGCCCUUACGUCCGGGGCGACACACGUGUUACAAUGGUGGGUACAGAGGGAAGCUACCUGGCGACAGGAUGCAGAUCUCGAAAACCCAUCCCAGUUCGGAUUGGAGUCUGCAACCCGACUCCAUGAAGUUGGAUUCGCUAGUAAUCGCGCAUCAGCCAUGGCGCGGUGAAUACGUUCCCGGGCCUUGCACACACCGCCCGUCA